UGAGUGACACGUGUGUUAACCUGCCUGUUAAGACUGGGAUAACUCCGGGAAACCGGGGCUAAUACCGGAUGCUUGAUUGAACCGCAUGGUUCAAUCAUAAAAGGUGGCUUUUAGCUACCACUUGCAGAUGGACCCGCGGCGCAUUAGCUAGUUGGUGAGGUAACGGCUCACCAAGGCGACGAUGCGUAGCCGACCUGAGAGGGUGAUCGGCCACACUGGGACUGAGACACGGCCCAGACUCCUACGGGAGGCAGCAGUAGGGAAUCUUCCGCAAUGGACGAAAGUCUGACGGAGCAACGCCGCGUGAGUGAUGAAGGUUUUCGGAUCGUAAAACUCUGUUGUUAGGGAAGAACAAGUACCGUUCGAAUAGGGCGGCACCUUGACGGUACCUAACCAGAAAGCCACGGCUAACUACGUGCCAGCAGCCGCGGUAAUACGUAGGUGGCAAGCGUUGUCCGGAAUUAUUGGGCGUAAAGCGCGCGCAGGCGGUUUCUUAAGUCUGAUGUGAAAGCCCCCGGCUCAACCGGGGAGGGUCAUUGGAAACUGGGGAACUUGAGUGCAGAAGAGGAGAGUGGAAUUCCACGUGUAGCGGUGAAAUGCGUAGAGAUGUGGAGGAACACCAGUGGCGAAGGCGACUCUCUGGUCUGUAACUGACGCUGAGGCGCGAAAGCGUGGGGAGCGAACAGGAUUAGAUACCCUGGUAGUCCACGCCGUAAACGAUGAGUGCUAAGUGUUUAGAGGGUUCCGCCCUUUUAGUGCUGCAGCCAAACGCAUUAAGCACUCCGCCUGGGGAGUACGUCGCAAAGACUGAAACUCAAAGGAAUUGAC
rnacentral:rRNA from 1 species